CCCUUAGAUGUUCUGGGCCGCACGCGCGCUACACUGACUGACUCAACGAGUUUACAACCUGUGCCGAAAGGUAUGGGUAAUCUUUUGAAAUUCAGUCGUGAUGGGGCUAGAUUAUUGCAACUAUUAAUCUUCAACGAGGAAUGCCUAGUAAGCGCGAAUCAUCAGUUCGCGUUGAUUACGUCCCUGCCCUUUGUACACACCGCCCGUCGCUCCUACCGAUUGAAUGGUCCGGUGAAAUCUCGGGACGGCGGCUUGGUCGCUUGCGUCCGACUGCUGAAACUUGAUUAAACCAUAUCAUUUAGAGGAAGGUGAANUCGUANCA
rnacentral:rRNA from 1 species